rnacentral:tRNA from 1 species
AGGAAUUUAGGUUAACAUUAAACCAUAGUCCUUCAAAGCCUACAUUAGAAGUGAAAAUCUCCUAAUUCCUG